rnacentral:rRNA from 1 species
CCUACGGGAGGCAGCAGUGGGGAAUAUUGGGCAAUGGGCGCAAGCCUGACCCAGCAACGCCGCGUGAAGGAAGAAGGCUUUCGGGUUGUAACCUUCUUUUCUGAGGGACGAAGAAAGUAACGGUACCUAAGAAUUAAGCCAGGGCUAACUACGUGCAAGCAGCCGCGGUAAUACGUAGGUGGCAAGCGUUAUCCGGAUUUAUUGGGUUUAAAGGGCGUGUAGGCGGGAAAGCAAGUCAGAUGUGAAAACUCAGGGCUCAACCCUGAGCCUGCAUUUGAAACUGUUUUUCUUGAGUGCUGGAGAGGCAAUCGGAAUUCCGUGUGUAGCGGUGAAAUGCGUAGAUAUACGGAGGAACACCAGUGGCGAAGGCGGAUUGCUGGACAGUAACUGACGCUGAGGCGCGAAAGCGUGGGGAGCAAACAGGAUUAGAUACCCUUGUAGUC